GAGUUCAAGAGUACUUGAAACCGUUCAGGGGUAAACCUGAGAAACCCGAAAGGUCGAUGGGGGAGAUUCAACCGCGUUGCGGUAGUCGGGUACCGGUAGGCGUGCGACGGGCGGUCUUCUCGAUCGUCCGCCCGCCUUCCGAUGGACGUCUCCGUAUGCACGCACUUCUCCCCUCGUAGGACGUCGUGACCCGUUGGGCGUCGGUCUAAGGACCUCGGUGGAGCCCGUGCGUGCGGUUCGCGCCGCACGUUCGGACCCGAGGAAUCCCGGUCGGCUCGCCCGACGGUAGCAUCGGACGAGAGGUCGCGACUGCGUUCGCGCCCGGUCCGCCGCAAGCGCUCGCUGUUCUUCGAAUUUCGGACCUCGUCCGGAUCAGAGGCCGCGUCGCUGUUGGCGGCGGACACCUCGGGCAGGCCUCGGUCUCGAACUCUUCGCGGGGUUCGAGACGUGCCCCCCAAUUAUUUGAGUUGAGAAGGYACGAUCGUCUGUCUGCGACGCUAUAGCUUUGGGUAAUUUCAGGACCCGUCUUGAA
rnacentral:rRNA from 1 species